rnacentral:rRNA from 1 species
UGGGGAAUAUUGGACAAUGGGCGAAAGCCUGAUCCAGCCAUGCCGCGUGAGUGACGAAGGCCUUAGGGUUGUAAAACUCUUUCGUCGGGGACGAUAAUGACGGUACCCGAAGAAGAAGCUCCGGCUAACUUCGUGCCAGCAGCCGCGGUAAUACGAAGGGAGCUAGCGUUGUUCGGAAUCACUGGGCGUAAAGGGCGUGUAGGCGGUAUGUUAAGUCAUGUGUGAAAUCCCUCGGCUCAACCGGGGAACGACGCAUGAAACUAGCAAGCUAGAGUACCAAAGAGGGUGGUGGAAUUCCCGGUGUAGCGGUGAAAUGCGUAGAUAUCAAGAGGAACACCUGAGGUGAAGACGGCAUCCUGGACCAAUACUGACGCUGAGGAGCGAAAGCCAGGGGAGCAAACGGGAUUAGAUACCCGGGUAGUCCCUGAGCGGGCUGGCAAGGCGCAU